AGCGAACGCUGGCGGCAGGCUUAACACAUGCAGGCCGAACGGGCGUAGCAAUACGUCAGUGGCAGACGGGUGAGUAACGCGUGGGAACGUACCUUUUGGUUCGGAACAACCCAGGGAAACGUUGGGCUAAUACCGGAUAAGCCCUUACGGGGAAAGGAUUUAUCGCCGAAAGAUCGGCCCGCGUCUGAUUAGCUAGUUGGUGAGGUAACGGCUCACCAAGGCGACGAUCAGUAGCUGGUCUGAGAGGAUGAUCAGCCACAUUGGGACUGAGACACGGCCCAAACUCCUACGGGAGGCAGCAGUGGGGAAUAUUGGACAAUGGGCGCAAGCCUGAUCCAGCCAUGCCGCGUGAGUGAUGAAGGCCCUAGGGUUGUAAAGCUCUUUUGUGCGGGAAGAUAAUGACGGUACCCGUA
rnacentral:rRNA from 1 species